rnacentral:lncRNA from 1 species
AAGAAAUCAAGUGGUGCAAUUCAUCCUUCAAGGCAGCAUCAAUGGAAAGGCGCAAUAUGGCAGAUUAGAGGAAGCUCGGCAGAAAUUCUGUACCUCUCGUUCCACUAUUGCUCGGCUGUGGAGGUCUGCAAAACAGCAACAUGAAGAAGGCGAAGUUAUCAACAGUGUAAGUCGAAAGAUUACUACAAAGCGUAGAACUAAAGUUCACCUAGAUUUGAGUAUUCUUUCAA